rnacentral:rRNA from 1 species
GACGAACGCUGGCGGCGUGCUUAACACAUGCAAGUCGAACGAUGAUGCCCAGCUUGCUGGGUGAAUUAGUGGCGAACGGGUGAGUAACACGUGAGUAACCUGCCCCUGACUCUGGGAUAAGCGUUGGAAACGACGUCUAAUACUGGAUAUGACUGCCGGCCGCAUGGUCUGGUGGUGGAAAGAUUGUUGGUUGGGGAUGGACUCGCGGCCUAUCAGCUUGUUGGUGAGGUAAUGGCUCACCAAGGCGACGACGGGUAGCCGGCCUGAGAGGGUGACCGGCCACACUGGGACUGAGACACGGCCCAGACUCCUACGGGAGGCAGCAGUGGGGAAUAUUGCACAAUGGGCGAAAGCCUGAUGCAGCAACGCCGCGUGAGGGAUGACGGCCUUCGGGUUGUAAACCUCUUUUAGUAGGGAAGAAGCGAAAGUGACGGUACCUGCAGAAAAAGCACCGGCUAACUACGUGCCAGCCGCCGCAGUAA